GGCUCUUGAAUCGUAUGGUAAAAGUAUGCUUAAUUUUGACAGAAACUGCCGAAUGUCUUUAAAAGUGGCUACACCAUUUUGCAUUCCUACCAGCAAUGAAUAAACAGUACCUGUUGCUCCACAGCUUCACCA